AAUAAGCACACUCACAUACACACACACACACACGUGCACAUACAUACACAAUGAGAGGGAAAAUGAGACAAGUAAGAGGUGAAGAGGGAGAAACAGGAAGAGGCAGGUAAGAGAGAUAGAAAGACAAAGAGAGAAUGGGGGAGGUGGAGAUGGGAUGUGGGAAUGUGCGGGAACCAACAGGAUGAGCUCAUGCUCUCUCUCCUGGCCCGGCCCACCCUGCGUGACUCAUACUUGGCAGGUGCGUCUGCAUGUGUGUUUACAGCUGCAGGUCAGCUCAGGGUGUGUCCUCAUUACACUGCUGGGGAACAUGUUUCCUCAAGCACAGGUAGAGCUGUUCAUCACACCAGCUUUUUUAUUACCACACUGCUUGGCUUAAUCAAAGUGACUACAGAAAUAUUGGCUUUUAAACACAAAUUAUCUGGAACAUAAAUUUAGAAAACAGUAGCUCCGUUGAGUGUAUGAUGUAAGGGUUACAAAUUUGGAAACUCUCGCAGACCCUUGAAAGUAACCGCAUCCUCCCUGGGACCACAGUAUGAGGGAUAUUUUUUUUAGGAGUGGGCCCCUGCUAGAAGUCUUCUGCUAACCUCACUGCUUUUGCCUCAAAGUGAUGGAUGUGGUUGGUGGAGACAACACACGACCUGCAGACAGCCAGCAGCUCCUUAGAAGGAAACGCCAUCUACUUCUUUGGCUACAGAGUGUCAGUGAGCUGCAUGUGUGUAUUUCAUUCUGUGAUCAUGUGUGCAUGUGUUCAAGGUGGUGAGGAAACUAGAUUUUUUAGAAAAUUAGUUGGAGCUCUGGAAAACCCACAACUUAGAAAUCACCUCUGUCAAACUAUCUGGUAAAUAAAAAUCCUUUUUGGUUCAGGUGGUGAAAAAAGUACACUCUUCAUGGACAUCCCAACCUGCCCAUAUUUCACUCUCUCAGCACAGAAUAACAAGGUCUUACCUAAGAGUGGAAUGUCAAUGUGGUCUGGCACAUUUAGUGUUUAGAUCUUAAAGCGGGUUAGGACAGAGGCGUGGGGACUAAUCUCAUGCAUCUCAAAAUAAAAUAUCUGAAAAGGUCACAGUUAAACUCCUUUUGUGUGGUUUGUAUCAGUGUGCAUCAAUGUGUGUAUACAUGAUUGUAUAUUGUGAUAUCAGAAAGAAUACAAGCAUGCCUGACUUGAUGGAUAUGUGAGUUAAGUCAAAUAUCCGAAAGACAAGAGCAGGAAACAAAUAAUAGUUUCUUCAAUGUAAGUCCUCUGGACAUUACUUCUGUAAUGAGACACACUUAUUCAUAGAGUAUUGGUUUCCGGUUAAAAUCAAGGUGAAACUGAGACUUUUCUGGCAUUAACCAUUAGCAGUGAUAAUGAGUCAUUUAGGUCACAGUUCCCAUUUCAGAAAUGCGUACAGUGUUUCAGGAUGAAACCUGCUCCAGUGGAACCAGUGUCUUUUUCUUUUUGCUGAACAGUGGCCACUUACAGGACAAUGAUACAUCAGAUUUAUCCACAUUUCCCAAGAUUCUCUUUCAUGGCAGUCUUCUAACAUGACUGAAAGAGAGUUAAAUUAAACCACAAACAUGCAUUCUGCUGAGGUACAAUAUGACUUUUGUGAUAAAACCAAUACAAUUUUAAAAAUUUUAUUUUUUAAGUUAGCAAACUGACUUUAGUAAUAUCUGUUACAUAGCAAUUACAUCACAUUAGCUAACAGCCACGAUACGCUAUUGCUCAUAUCAAUAUCUUUUGGGGGCCAAUGUUUGGUAACACUAACGGUAGCCGCUGUAAAUUGUUGGUCAAGCCAGAUCAAGUAAGGCUGUAGCAGCAAAAUUCUUCAGUGUUUUAAAUUAAGUAAGUGCAAGUAUAGCUUAUGAAUUAAACUUUUAAUUUGUAAGAGAAAGAAUGUACAUAUUCUCACUUUAAAGGUCCAGUGUGUAACAUUUAGGGGGAUAUAUUGGAUCUAUUCAUAGGUCUGUAGUGUACCUGAAAAUGAGAAUGAGACCUUUUCAUUAAUGUUUUUAUCUCCAGAUGCUGCAGAUCUCCUUCUGUGGUUGCCGCCAUGUUGAACCCCAUGUUUCUACAGUAGCUCAAAACAGAAAAGCAACUGUCUCUAGCACUGUAGUUUCUCCUUCAUGUUUGGAAGGGGAGGGGGGAGUGAGGGGGACGCAAUCUGCAAUUAUAUCACUAGAUGCCACUAAAUUUUAGACAUUGGUCAUUUAUGUAUCGACAAAACAAUGUAAAACCUGUAGCUAAAAGAAAAACACAGUUGAAACUAGGUGUAGAACCACCAUAGAGACACAAGAAACCCAUUUAUGGUUCCAUUUCAGUGCCAUGACAAAUAUUUAACAGACCCACAAAUGAGAUUCAUUAAAAGGCGGAUUUUUUGUCUUUUCUUUAUUCCACAAUUUAGAGUCGAGUGAGGUUCACACUAGUCGAGAAAGCAACAGUGGAGUAAUUGCCAUUGUCAGCUUAAGGUUUGACAGCUUCAUGUCCAACCACACAGCAGAGCUGAGAAUACUGUUGUGUCAAGUGUCAAAACCUUACAGGAGAUAACCUUUUGGGAAGAACAAACUAAGUCAAUUGCAACUAUUGUUACAUAGUAUUUAGGUGAAUUAAUAACUGUACACUUUGCAGUGGAACAGUUAGCUACUUAUCCAGAUGGAUCUCAGGGUCUCAAAUUUAUUCAUUGUAUUUCAGAAAAACUGAAAAAUCUGAAAAUGAUUUAUUUUAGACCCAUAGAUCUGUAGACAUGAAAUAAAUGUUAACAUAUUUAUCUCCUGGUGUUGGUCCGUAUAAUCACUCCGCUCUUCAUUCAUCUCUUUUUACCUUACCUGUUCAUAAAAUGUAUUUGUCAUCUUAACUGAUGAUCACAAAUGUUUCAGUUCCUCUAAUCUCUGUGUUGCCUCUGUAUCUCCAUUUUUCUUUAUCUCUGAUAAUGUUCUGAAUUCUCAGGGCUCAUGUCUUAUCUUGGCCACUCUCUGUAUGACGCACAGAGCCGAGCAAGGACAUGCAGUUUCUAUGCUACACUGAGACAACGUCCUCGAAUCGCCAAUCUCAGAUUGACUCUUUUCAAAUGUUUCUAUAUUUGAAAGUGAUGGUUGUGAAUAAGAGAUUUAAGGACAAUGCCACCAUUGCUUACAUUCUCAUUUUGAGUUAUGACGUUUCUGGUCACAAAAGACAUAUUCAGCUCCUACCAGGGCCUGAAUUGGACCAAAAACUCUCCUAAUUCAGCACAACCCUAACCCUAACCACAACAAAACCCUAACCCUGAUUCUUUCCGUAUAUUCUGUUCAUUGUAACAAGGACAUUUUCAGCACUCUUUUCUUGGCAUUAAGCUAGCUGUGUGUUCACACAAAGACACUGUUCCUAUGUGUUAUAUUUUUCCCAUCAAAAUUCUGCUCUGCCUCUAACUGGCUCUGACCCUAAAGAUGUUUUUCUAACCCGAACCAUUUCACGCCUAAUGCCUAAACCUAACCAACCAACCAACAAACACUAGCCAGAGGUAUAAUAGAGCGGGUCUAUGUGGAAUGCAGGUGGUGAAAAAAAUUCAAGCAUUACGUGGGUGUUUAGGGGUGCAUAGUCUACUCAUCAGGAGGUGGGGGUUUGCAAUAAGAGUAAGUAAGGGUACCCGUGGACAAAAAUUAGAAGUGCCGGUGCUAAAUCCUGGAGAUUACCAGCCCACUUCAGCCCCUUACAUAAGGUCAUUUGUCUGUGAAAGAGAUUCUUAUACAAAAAUACUCAAGCAAGUGAUAAACAGGAUAGGUGAAUGGGUGCGGAAAACAGAGCUUGUAGGAGUGGGAGGAGAAGUGAUGGGGGAUGGGAUUCUCAUUUGGGAAUUACCACGUUAUUAUACUAAUGAUGGAGGGUGGUAGUGGUGAACGGAAGAUAAAUAAAUAAUUAGGGAAGCAACAUAAGGCCUCUUCUUUUCAAGGUAAAGUAAGAAAAACAGAGAAGCCGAGAAAAAAGAGAAAAAGUAUUCAUAAAACAGAGGCAUGGAUUGAUUUCCCCACACAACUAUUAAAUUCAUUGAUAAUAUUAACAAAAUGGGAUUUGAGAUACAAAGGAUUUCCUUGUCUGGCUUGUCCUGUAUCAGUGUAAUGAAAGCUGUUUUCCAUCAUUGAGAUCACACAGCAGGUUUACUGAGCGCUCCAAAGACAUUGACACUGUGUGGAAGUGGGCCAUCAGUUUCCUUCAAUCACCCUAAUGUGGAGGACUGUGGGGCUGACAGCCAUCUAUAGCCGAGUGAUACCCCUCCCCCUGAGUGCUAAUAAACAAACACACAGCCUCCCCCGGAGUCCCCCAGGUGGUCUCAGUCAACACAUUGAAUGGAGCAUCACUCAAUGAUGGAUCAAAAGAAAGGCCGUCCGCUCAUCGCUCAUCUUCUCUUCCCCCGUCCUCCCGGCUAUCCUCUCCUCCACUCCUUUUCCCUACCGCUCUUUGAUCCACCUUUUCUCGUUUAGCCCCCCUCUCAUCCAUCUUGGGUGUUCCUGUCCCGCUCUCAGCUCCAGACGGGCCGAGGGGUUCUAGACCUCAUCCCUCACCCUCCUCUCCCUGCUGGGACAAAUAGGUCCCUGUGCGCCCCUGUUGAAGGAUGAGCCUCUUACACAUACAACCACUUUUUUCUUUUGCUAAUUCCCGUGUCUUGCUCUCUCAUGCAUGAAGUCUCCCAUUCAGAUACAUAAAAACUACACUCCCAUUUUCUAUACAAAUACAUUUUUUUGUGUAAUAUAUGAACUACAAAAUUCAUCUCCACCAUAAAAGGUAUUUACUCAAGGUAAGUAAUAGUUUUCCUGUGGCACUACACACUGUUUCAAAUUAUUUCAACCAUGACUCUAUUUGCUAUUUACUUUACAAAGUAGGAUAUGUGACACAUGGAUGACCCUGUGUGUCUCAAAUGUUGUCACACCAAAGUGAAAGUGUUUCACAAUCUGGAAGAAACAUAUUGCAGAAUUUAUCUUCACUGCAUCUUUGAGCACCAGGCAGAAUGCUGAAGUCAUUAUAAGAGCCAGCACAGCACUGUUCCUGUGUCUGCAUGGGUACAUGUGACUGUAACUGUAGCUCGGUAACUUGUCGAGGGCCCUGAUACCAAACAAACUUCAGUUUGAACAAGAUGAUGCUGUAAAGUUUGGCUUUUCUUUGUGUUGCACUUGCAUUUUCAGCUUGUAACUUUGGCUUGACAGAAACAAAGGAAAUAGGAGCUAUUCGACAUGCUGAAUCAGCCGCUAAAGAGGGCCAACUAGAAUCAACAGGACUGGACGUACUGCAAAAACUAGAGGCAACCGUCGACCACAAAAGACGCACCUUGUCUCACACCCAGGGGAAGGACUGGUAGAAGUGGCAUGUGUUAAGGUGUCAGCAUGCUUCAACAGAGUGCUUAUCGGGAUGAUCAACCAGAAUCUGGCAUCCAUUCCCAGCACACCUUUCUAACUUCGGAAUAGAGGAGUCUGUAUCCAACUAUUUUAGUUGCUUUCCCAAACGGACACCUGAUUGGCCAGGUGUGUGGAGCCAGGAGUACGCAAGCAGGGUUUCAGCUUCUCUCUCAAGCUCUUUUUUAAAAUUCUUGACACAAUUACUUUAAUCAAUUUACGUAUGUGCAACACCAUGAAUGCCUUUGAGUAACAACUGUCUGGAUGUGUGUGCUGUUAUGCACCCAUAUUUAAACGAUUAACGUAUCCCUCCCCUUUCUGUAACAGCGGGCUUUGAGCCUGAGCGUGGCUGUUACAGCUGACUUCAAUGUAGGCGUGGUGUAGUAAGAGUACAUUAAGCUGUACAUUAAAUAAGAGGGACUGGCAGCAGCACAGUUUAGACUACCAGCCCAAAUGUUAUGUAAAUGUUGGCCUGGCCUGAGCACAGAGCAUCAUAAAAGCUGUAAUGAAAACCAGAGACAGAGAGAGAGAGUAGGGCAGUGAAAAGCAACACAGCUCCCAUCCCAACUCCAACCACACUGAGGAGAAUUCACUACCUUCCUCGAGCAUGAUAGGGUUUUCUCCCUCUGAGCACUAGCAGAGCAACAACACAUUCCUGUCCACAUUCCAGCCUCAGGAAAAACAGUGUCCGGAACAUAAUAAAAGGCCAAGCACGUCAUUUGUUUUUAAAUCCACUUGCUCGCUUGGAACAAAGCUGAGCUGAGGGCAGGAUUGGGCAAAUGUGUUUGUGCAUAGGAUAGAAAGAGACAGUGAAAGGGAUGUGUUUGUGUUUACAGGAACCUGUGUGUGUGAGUGUUUUCUGUUUUUCUCUGUGGUCACAAUAGCGUGAUGAGCUAACCCUUCCACGACCAAAAGUAUACCACACUGUCCAGCCACAUGACCUGAAAUACAAAUUAAGUGAAAAAAGCAUUGGAUACACACUCUGAUUAGCUCAUAUCUCCAGUUGUACAGCCUGUCACAUUAUAUGUUUUCAUUUGCACCAUUCCUCUCCUCUGCCUGUAGUUAUUGGCAUUUUGUCCAACAUUUCAUUUCUCUUGUGCACUCCAGGUCACAGGAAAAUCCCCAGGUACACCAUGACCUUGUUUGGGCAACCUGCACUCUCAGGUAUCUGCUGUUCAAACAUAAGCAGUGGACAACGGCACACAAAGACGGAUAGACACGCGCACAUAUGGAGCUAUACACACAAUAAUUAUCAUCGGACAGCUGAUAAGAGGAGUGCUGGACAUUUUGGCGCUGUCCAAGUCUCAGUCUGUCUAACAGCAGUGGCAGGUUGAAGGUCAGGCCAGUUUUAAUGGAGUGUUUCGGCCAUGGUGUAUCCUUUGUCAGAGAGUCUCUUGACCUCCACAUCCUGCCUGGAACAAUAUCACUUUCACUCCCCAUCCCCUAAGCAAGCCAUCACUCUCCAAGCAUGACCGUGACCGAUUUUGGUGCGGAAGCCUCUGUGUUGACAUUUCCCUUCAUUCAUUCCUAUAUUUGUCUUUUAAUCCAUCCAGUCCACUACAUUUGCCACAACCCCCAAAACUCUCAAUUUCUAAAUGUCUCGAGGUUGUGCGGUAACUGAUACAGAGAGCUUCUGUCCAGUCAAUCCAUAAUGCUGUUGACCUCAUCCUGUCCUCCUCUACGUCUGUUGCUCCCCGCACCGCAGAUCCCAUCAGCUCAUCAGGAAGCUAAUAAUCUCCUUCCUGUAUUUGACACAGAACGUGGUGGCCAGCGGCAUCCAUGUGUGAAGGGGGCGCAUGCGUGUGCGCAUGAAGACUCGUCCGCAAAACAAAAACAAAAAGAAAAACCACCAACAACAAAAUUAAUAAUAAGUUUCCAAACAUUAUGAGCUGAAGGAGACUCUGCAGUCACAUCAGGGUCUAUUAUCAGAAACAGCAGCGAGAUCUCACAUACAUCACCAGAAAUUGGAGGAAAUGUCACAAACAUUUUGCCAUUUAUCCAGACUCAGCAUGGACCUGAUGGCCACGCAACAUUGUGGUGGUCUUGAUGUUGUAAUCCACACCUGGACAGGCGCCAAGCAUAUCUGCAGACACCUGCGUCAGACCGACUGAGAAAAACAAGAGUGAAAAGAACAGAUCCCACCCCUUCAUCCCUCUCUGUCUCCCUCUGUUUGUCUGUUUCACCCCCUACUCUCUGUGAGUUUCAAUAGGUCAUGUGACUUCCUUCCUGUUGUUUUGACCCUGGGUUCAGUCUGCCUCAGGGUCAGUGUACCUCCCCCUUUGCUUAUUAAACACAAUCUUAAAAUCUCA